rnacentral:tRNA from 1 species
AUAAAGUGGCUGAGGAUAGAAGCGGUAGAUUGUAAAUCUAUAGACGAGGUAGAACUCCUUUAUAA